CCCGGUGUGAACCGGACCAGCGGCGAGCGAAGCGGGAAGAGCUCAAAUUUAUAAUCUGGCACCUUCGGUGUCCGAGUUGUAAUCUCUAGAAAUGUUUUCCGCGUUGGACCGCACACAAGUCUGUUGGAAUACAGCGGCAUAGUGGUGAGACCCCCGUAUAUGGUGCGGACGCCCAGCGCUUUGUGAUACAUUUUCGAAGAGUCGAGUUGUUUGGGAAUGCAGCUCAAAUUGGGUGGUAAAUUCCAUCUAAAGCUAAAUAUUGGCGAGAGACCGAUAGCGAACAAGUACCGUGAGGGAAAGAUGAAAAGCACUUUGGAAAGAGAGUUAACAGUACGUGAAAUUGUUGGAAGGGAAACGCUUGAAGUCAGACUUGCUUGCCGAGCAAUCGGUUUGCAGGCCAGCAUCAGUUUUCCGGGAUGGAUAAUGGUAGAGAGAAGGUAGCAGUUUCGGCUGUGUUAUAGCUCUCUGCUGGAUACAUCUUGGGGGACUGAGGAACGCAGUGUGCCUUUUGGCGGGGGUUUCGACCUCUUCACACUUAGGAUGCUGGUGGAAUGGCUUUAAACGACCCGUCUUGAAAA
rnacentral:rRNA from 1 species